rnacentral:rRNA from 1 species
UACGGAGGGUGCGAGCGUUAAUCGGAAUUACUGGGCGUAAAGCGCGCGUAGGUGGUUAAAUCAGUCUGAUGUGAAAGCCCUGGGCUUAACCUGGGAAUGGCAUUGGAUACUGUUUAACUGGAGUGUGGGAGAGGGUAGUGGAAUUUCCGGUGUAGCAGUGAAAUGCGUAGAGAUCGGAAGGAACACCAGUGGCGAAGGCGGCUACCUGGACCAACACUGACGCUGAGGUGCGAAAGCGUGGGGAGCAAACAGG